rnacentral:rRNA from 1 species
CCCGGAGGAUAGGGCGCACCAAUAAUUGUGGACUACCCUACCUUUGGUUCCGAUAGCCCCUACAAAGAGUGGUGGUUAUCGAUGACUGUGGAGACCAAAGAUUAUCGCCCCGAGGAGGGCCCACAUGAUUUAGCUAGUGGUGAGGUAAUGGCUCACCAAGGCUAAGAUGUCUAGCGGGUGUGAGAGCACGACCCGCGCCACUCGCACUGAGACACUGGCGAGACACUACGGGUGGCUGCAGUCGAGAUCUUCGGCAAUGAGCGCAAGCUUGACCGAGCGACGCCGCGUGAGCGAUGAAGGCCUUCGGGUUGUAAAGCUCUUUAGUGGGGGAGAAAAGCCCGCAAGGGUGUGAUCUAUCCCAAAAAUAAGCACGGGCUAAGUUCGUGCCAGCAGCCGCGGUAAGACGAACCGUGCGAACGUUGUUCGGAAUCACUGGGCUUAAAGGGAGCGUAGGCGGGCUAUCAAGUCUGGGGUGAAAUCCCACGGCUCAACCGUGGAACUGCCUUAGAUACUGACGGCCUCGAGGGAGAUAGGGGCAUGCGGAACUGUAGGUGGAGCGGUGAAAUGCGUUGAUAUCUACAGGAACUCCGGUGGCGAAAGCGGCGUGCUGGAUCUCUUCUGACGCUGAGGCUCGAAAGCUAGGGGAGCAAACGGGAUUAGAUACCCCGGUAGUCCUAGCCCUAAACGAUGGGUACUAGGUAGUAGACGAGAUAUGCGUUUACUGCCGAAGCUAAAGUGCUAAGUACCCCGCCUGGGGAGUAUGGUCGCAAGGCUGAAGCUCAAAGAAAUUGACGGGGGCUCACACAAGCGGUGGAGCAUGUGGCUUAAUUCGAGGCUACGCGAAGAACCUUAUCCUGGACUUGACAUGUGCGAAAGCGUUAGGUAGUAGGAGCCGGAAACGGUAACGAACCCCGCAAGGGGGAGCCUAAUACAGGUGCUGCAUGGCUGUCGUCAGCUCGUGUCGUGAGAUGUCGGGUUAAGUCCCAUAACGAGCGAAACCCUUACCCUUAGUUGCUACCCGCAAGGGGCACUCUAGGGGGACUGCCGGUGUUAAACCGGAGGAAGGCGGGGAUGACGUCAAGUCCUCAUGGCCUUUAUGUCCAGGGCUGCACACGUGCUACAAUGGCGUGUACAAAGCGAAGCGACUGCGCGAGCAGAAGCAAAUCGCAAAAAACACGCCCCAGUUCAGAUCGUAGGCUGCAACUCGCCUACGUGAAGCCGGAAUCGCUAGUAAUCGCGGGUCAGCAACACCGCGUAUCCAC